GAUGAACGCUGGCGGCGUGCUUAACACAUGCAAGUCGAGCGGGCAAUUUAUCUAGCACUGAUUACUUCAAAUGGAAAUCAUAAGUGUAAUCAUGAAUUUCUACCUUUAAUAAAGAAAAAAGAAAUUCAUGUACGCAAAUAGUGAUAACACAUUUUAGUGGAGUGAUGAGUGCUGGAUAAAUUGCUAGCGGCGGACGGGUGCGUAACACGUGGGUAACCUGCCCCUAUCACUGGGAUAACACACUGAAAAGUGUGCUAAUACCAGAUAACAUAAGCUUUUGGCAUCAUUAGCUUAUCAAAGAAUUUCGGAUAGGGAUGGGCCCGCGUCUGAUUAGCUAGUUGGUGAGGUAACGGCUCACCAAGGCAACGAUCAGUAGCCGACCUGAGAGGGUGAUCGGCCACACUGGAACUGAGACACGGUCCAGACUCCUACGGGAGGCAGCAGUGGGGAAU
rnacentral:rRNA from 1 species